CCGAAUUUGGGCUGCCUCGUGUAGGCGCCCCUCUUCAUCCACCCCACACCCGUGCACAGGUCCUUCUCUCGGGGAGGGCCGCUUUUCUUUACAUGCGCCUCUGCGUCACUGGAUGUAUAACAUAUAAAAAGAAAC
rnacentral:misc_RNA from 1 species